rnacentral:rRNA from 1 species
UGCAAGUCGAGCGGUAACAGGUGUAGCAAUACAUGCUGACGAGCGGCGAACGGGUGAGUAAUGCUUCGGAAUCUGCCCAAUGGUGGGGAAUAACCAGCCGAAAGGUUGGCUAAUACCGCAUAAGUCCUACGGGGGAAAGCAGGGGAUCGCAAGACCUUGCGCCGAUGGAUGAGCCGAAGUCGGAUUAGCUAGUUGGUAGGGUAACGGCCUACCAAGGCGACGAUCCGUAGCUGGUCUGAGAGGACGACCAGCCACACUGGGACUGAGACACGGCCCAGACUCCUACGGGAGGCAGCAGUGGGGAAUAUUGGACAAUGGGGGAAACCCUGAUCCAGCGACGCCGCGUGUGUGAAGAAGGCCUGCGGGUUGUAAAGCACUUUUAGUGGGGAUGAAAAGCUCAGGGCUAACACCUCUGGGUCUUGANCUAACCCAAAGAAAAAGCACCGGCUAACUCUGUGCCAGCAGCCGCGGUAAUACAGAGGGUGCGAGCGUUAAUCGGAAUUAC